UACAAUUCGGAAUUGAACGUUUCUGUAUCAGUGAAAGCUUCAUCGUUAAUGUUUUAUUACGGGUUUGAAUGAGACAUUAAUACUUCGGUAGCUGCAUUAAAAUGAUGCUUUCGGUGCGGAGAAUGAUGAAUGAAUGACUGUUGAAGACCAGACUCAAAUGAUUUGCAUCUGGAGAUGCAGGGAGGUUUAAUAACUAUUCUUUAUUAUUAACGUAACUCUGUUUAAAGGCGCCAUGAAGCAGAUAUUUGCAUGAGAGUGAAUAAACAUUCGUUAUUAUGGAUGACCAUUACGUUCUGCUAAAAGAUUUCGUACGGCUUGUAUCCGAAUGAGGGUUAGAAUAGAAGAGGAAAAGCGCUCAGUUGCAUCUGCAUAUAUUUAUGAAGAAUCGGUAGCUCUGUAACAGAGAGUAACAUGCUGAACAAAAGAAAAAAUAAAAUGGCUCAUAUUUUAUCAUGCCACAAGAAGGGGUAAUUCCUGAAUUAGAUUUUCUUGAACAAAAAGGAACGUAAAACAUCAUUGGUCUUUUAUUUUCGAAUCGGCUGCUUCGAAACGAAAUGUUAACAGAAGAUACUGCUUUGUGUUUGGUGGAAUAAGACCUUUUAUUGUAUACUUUGGAUACUUAGAGAGUAGCAAAACCAUCAUAGUCGAUGUAUAUCAGCCUUGUGUGCAGAUAAUGUUUCGAAAACAAUGUUACUAAAAAAGAUACUGUAGUAAAAGAGUAGUUCAGUAACGAAAAUAAUAAAAGGAUAGUGAAAAAUGUUUAUCCAUUUACUAAAGUUUGUCAUUAAAAGCUGGAAUCCAAUAAAAUCGGAUGCUUUAAAAAAGCCACAAGAAAAAAGACGGCUCCAAUUUUCCCCAAAAGGAAUUCUCAAUGCGGAUAAGAGACAUCUCCUUCAUACCCAGUAAUCAAGUCCAGAUCAAGCAAUUUCAAGUUACGCUCAUACCAUCGUCGAAUAUCCUGGUAUUUUUUCAAGAUGUUGAUUCUUAUUCCAGUUCAGGACAACCAAUGGAUAACGAAAAAGAAAAUGUCGAGCAGGGCCCUUACUUAAGCACGUCAUUUCCAUUUGAACUUGAAUGCAUCAAGUAAGAUCGUAUGAUUUUAGAAUAUUUGCUUGUCAGAAUUGGCUGUAAGACAUCUAGGCGGUAAAUCUUUUCUACUCAUUCAGACUGCCUUGUGAUAUGAUUUUAAUGCAUAUUAAAAAUUUUCGAAUAGUUAAAAUCUGAAUAUGUGCAAUUCGAAAAGCUAUAAAAUGGUAAUAAAUGAACAAAUUAUAAGAUAAAAAAAUUUCGUCUGAGAUCUAUUUCUCUGCCGUCGAAAAUUCGAUAUUAUAUAAAUGAGU